rnacentral:rRNA from 1 species
CCUACGGGUGGCAGCAGUGGGGAAUAUUGCACAAUGGGCGCAAGCCUGAUGCAGCCAUGCCGCGUGUGUGAAGAAGGCCUUCGGGUUGUAAAGCACUUUCAGCGGGGAGGAAGGCGGUGAGGUUAAUAACCUCAUCGAUUGACGUUACCCGCAGAAGAAGCACCGGCUAACUCCGUGCCAGCAGCCGCGGUAAUACGGAGGGUGCAAGCGUUAAUCGGAAUUACUGGGCGUAAAGCGCACGCAGGCGGUCUGUCAAGUCGGAUGUGAAAUCCCCGGGCUCAACCUGGGAACUGCAUUCGAAACUGGCAGGCUAGAGUCGUGUAGAGGGGGGUAGAAUUCCAGGUGUAGCGGUGAAAUGCGUAGAGAUCUGGAGGAAUACCGGUGGCGAAGGCGGCCCCCUGGACAAAGACUGGCGCUCAGGUGCGAAAGCGUGGGGAGCAAACAGGAUUAGAUACCCCGGUAGUC